AUUGAACGCUGGCGGAAUGCUUUACACAUGCAAGUCGAACGGUAGAGGGGGCAACCCCUUGAGAGUGGCGAACGGGUGAGUAAUAUAUCGGAACGUGCCCAGUCGUGGGGAUAACGUAGCGAAAGUUACGCUAAUACCGCAUACGAUCUAAGGAUGAAAGCGGGGGAUCGCAAGACCUCGCGCGAUUGGAGCGGCCGAUAUCAGAUUAGGUAGUUGGUGAGGUAAAGGCUCACCAAGCCAACGAUCUGUAGCUGGUCUGAGAGGACGACCAGCCACACUGGAACUGAGACACGGCCCAGACUCCUACGGGAGGCAGCAGUGGGGAAUUUUGGACAAUGGGCGCAAGCCUGAUCCAGCAAUGCCGCGUGCAGGAUGAAGGCCUUCGGUUGUAAACUGCUUUGUACGGACGAAACGGUAGAGCGUCUAAUACAGUUUGCUAAUGACGGUACCGUAAGAAUAAGCACCGGCGUAACUAACGUGCCAGCAGCCGCGGUAAAGUG
rnacentral:rRNA from 1 species